rnacentral:lncRNA from 1 species
UUGAGGAGCAAAUGAAAAAUAUCUAGCAUACUGGCCUGGGGAAAAGAAAAAAAAAGUGAGAAUUUCCUGUACUAGUCUUCAUUCAUUUACUAUAGGUCUGAAAACCUACGGGAGUGAUUUUAUUAUUUAUAUGACCCUCUACUUAAUAGAAAACACAGCCCUAUAAACAUGAAAUU